rnacentral:rRNA from 1 species
UACGGGGGGAGCAAGCGUUGUUCGGAUUUACUGGGCGUAAAGGGCGCGUAGGCGGCGCAACAAGUCACUUGUGAAAUCUCCGAGCUUAACUCGGAAAGGUCAACUGAUACUGUGCGGCUAGAGUGCGGAAGGGGCAACUGGAAUUCUCGGUGUAGCGGUGAAAUGCGCAGAUAUCGGGAGGAACACCAAUGGCGAAGGCAGCUCGCUGGGACGGUACUGACGCUGAGACGCGAAAGCGUGGGGAGCAAACAGG